GGAGAGAAAAAAAAGCCGGAAGGCUUAGGGAGGGCUAGGUUGGGAUUUGGGGGAGGCUGGGUCGGAAUUUUUGGUUAUUCGUUCUAAAAGGGGGAUCCUGCCAGAAAGCCUGUCUUAAACGUGGGGGACCGCUCGUUGCAACGGCCAGGGGAGAAGGAUGAGAGAUGUAGAAAUUAAUACCAGGAAGUUUGUCAGUAUUUGAGUUGGCCACAGAUAUGGGCAACGUUGGUCUCAGGAAGAAAUGCAUGCAGUUUCUAAGAAGAAAUCUUUUCUUCCAGAGGACUACUCAACACCAUGCUAACCCUCAGCUUGUCUGCUUUUCCAAGAGUGAGAAUGGGCAGAGAAGUGUAUGUACCUAGCGAGGAGAUUCCUAAGGAACUUAUUACCUACUCUUGCAGGUAAUCAACACCACCCUUAUUGGUAGUCCCUGUGUAUCCGAGAGGAGCAAAUUUACCUUCUCUUGGCUGGGGAUCCUGGGAUCAAGGAAGUCAGGAUCCAGUGACUGGGUUCAAGUCAAAUGAUUAUUUCUAAACUGCUCUUUGCUAAUGGUCUCAGAGAGUGUUGCUGUAGAAAGUGGGUAACGCAGAGAAUGGGAAGAUGGUGCAGAGGAGAUGGGGGAUGGAUGUGCAUCCCCUUGGGGCCCUGAGGACAUUUGGGACUUCACAGGCACAACUGUCUGUCUCUGAAGAUCGGACUUUAUAAAAGCAUCAGAGCUUUAUCAUGUCAUUCCUGGCAUGUUCCUGGCUCCCUGUAAGUAGGCUAAAUUCGUCCAGGGCUGCACCACAAUGCAGCUUUCCCUGAAGCAACUUAUUGAGCUAUUGAACUGUC
rnacentral:lncRNA from 1 species